rnacentral:rRNA from 1 species
UACAGAGGUGGCAAGCGUUUGUUCGGAAUUACUGGGCGUAAAGGGCGCGUAGGCGGCCUUCUAAGUCUUGUGUGAAAUCCCUCGGCUCAACUGAGGAACUGCACGGGAUACUGGAUGGCUUGAGUUCGGGAGAGGGAAGCGGAAUUCCGGGUGUAGCGGUGAAAUGCGUAGAUAUCCGGAGGAACACCGGUGGCGAAGGCGGCUUCCUGGACCGAUCACUGACGCUGAGGCGCGAAAGCUAGGGGAGCAAACGGG